rnacentral:rRNA from 1 species
AUUGAACGCUGGCGGCAGGCUUAACACAUGCAAGUCGAGCGGGGGAAGGUAGCUUGCUACCGGACCUAGCGGCGGACGGGUGAGUAAUGCUUAGGAAUCUGCCUAUUAGUGGGGGACAACAUCUCGAAAGGGAUGCUAAUACCGCAUACGUCCUACGGGAGAAAGCAGGGGAUCUUCGGACCUUGCGCUAAUAGAUGAGCCUAAGUCGGAUUAGCUAGUUGGUGGGGUAAAGGCCUACCAAGGCGACGAUCUGUAGCGGGUCUGAGAGGAUGAUCCGCCACACUGGGACUGAGAACCGGCCCAGACUCCUACGGGAGGCAGCAGUGGGGAAUAUUGGACAAUGGGGGGAACCCUGAUCCAGCCAUGCCGCGUGUGUGAAGAAGGCCUUAUGGUUGUAAAGCACUUUAAGCGAGGAGGAGGCUACUUUAGUUAAUACCGAGAGAUAGUGGACGUUACUCGCAGAAUAAGCACCGGCUAACUCUGUGCCAGCAGCCGCAGUAAAAC